ACCCGCUGAACUUAAGCAUAUCAAUAAGCGGAGGAAAAGAAACCAACAGGGAUUGCCUCAGUAACGGCGAGUGAAGCGGCAACAGCUCAAAUUUGAAAUCUGGCUCCUUCGGGGUCCGAGUUGUAAUUUGUAGAGGGUGCUUCGGCUUACGGCGCGGUCUAAGUUCCUUGGAACAGGACGUCACAGAGGGUGAGAAUCCCGUACGUGGCCGCGCUCUCCGCCAUGUGAAGCCCCUUCGACGAGUCGAGUUGUUUGGGAAUGCAGCUCUAAAUGGGAGGUAAAUUUCUUCUAAAGCUAAAUAUCAGCCAGAGACCGAUAGCGCACAAGUAGAGUGAUCGAAAGAUGAAAAGCACUUUGGAAAGAGAGUUAAAAAGUACGUGAAAUUGUUGAAAGGGAAGCGCUUGCGACCAGACUUGACCGCGGAUGCUCAGCCGGCCCUCCGGCCGGUGUACUCUUCCGCGGUCAGGCCAGCAUCAGUUUGGGCGGCCGGAUAAAGGCCUCGGGAAUGUGGCUCCCCUCGGGGAGUGUUAUAGCCCGGGGUGCAAUGCGGCCCGCCCGGACUGAGGACCGCGCUUCGGCUAGGAUGCUGGCGUAAUGGUCGU
rnacentral:rRNA from 1 species